rnacentral:rRNA from 1 species
CCUACGGGAGGCUGCAGUGGGGAAUAUUGGACAAUGGGGGCAACCCUGAUCCAGCCAUGCCGCGUGUGUGAAGAAGGCCCUCGGGUUGUAAAGCACUUUCAGUGAGGAAGAACGCCUGGUGGUUAAUACCCAUCAGGAAAGACAUCACUCACAGAAGAAGCACCGGCUAACUCCGUGCCAGCAGCCGCGGUAAUACGGAGGGUGCGAGCGUUAAUCGGAAUUACUGGGCGUAAAGCGCGCGUAGGUGGCUUGAUAAGCCGGUUGUGAAAGCCCCGGGCUCAACCUGGGAACGGCAUCCGGAACUGUCAAGCUAGAGUGCAGGAGAGGAAGGUAGAAUUCCCGGUGUAGCGGUGAAAUGCGUAGAGAUCGGGAGGAAUACCAGUGGCGAAGGCGGCCUUCUGGACUGAUACUGACACUGAGGUGCGAAAGCGUGGGUAGCAAACAGGAUUAGAUACCCUAGUAGUC